GUUCCGUGGUGGGUGGUUGCUCGGUGCCUUGCUGCUUCGUCGAGUGGGAGAAGAAAGAAGGUGGGAGGUUACGGAUGGGUGUGUGCGCGCGCGCGCGUCCUACACACUGCCAGAGAGAGAGGGAAGGAGUAGGUUGGCUGGCCGGCUCUGCUUAAUGGUGGAAGGAUGAAAUCGCCGAGUGUAAAAUAGAGAAAGAGAGAAGACGACACAUCCUUGGCGAUGUCACACAGUGGAUCACAUGAUGUCCGAGGAGGUGGCAUACAAAAUCCACUUCAUGGAUGUUACAGCUACAUCACAAACUAUUGGAAUACGUUCUUUUUCUUAUUCUGACAAUGCAUAAUUUCAUUUCAUCCAACGGAUAGCAUGAAUAACUUCAAAUUUGAUUUCACAUUGAGUCAAAUAUUAUGGAAAAUUUCAUUGUAGAAUAUAUUCAUAAAUUGUCUAAUAUUCGGCUCUUGAAAAGUUUGGGCGAUCGUUUCUAUCGAAAAGUAAAACGUAAGAGAAAGAAGGAAAGAAAAAGAAAAAAGGAGAGAGUUUGAGGCUAACGAGUGAAUGAAGUUUAUCGUGUGAAAAUUGCACAUGCGAAGGUCGAAUAAAGAAUGAAAAAGAAAGUAUUAGGAAAUCCAAACCCAUUAGAUCCUUUCGAAGAAGGACUAUUAAUUACGUCACCCUAAUUCUAAAUCUCCCUUUGAAGUACCGUAGUACGGCUUAAGGAAAAGAAUUGCAAUUGAAUUCUUUUUCGAAGAAAAGAUGACCCCUCAUUAGCCGAUAGCUUUUCAAUUGUCCGUAGAUUUUACUUUACGGUACAUUGUAUUAUCUUAUAAUACUUUUCUUUCGUUAUUAUUCAAGAAUUUACUUGGGGGGUAUUCUCUAUUAUUUCGGUAUCCAUUAAGAUUUACUAUAUAUAAGUGUGCAAUAAAAAUAAAGUAAAAACAAAUAUUUAGUU
rnacentral:lncRNA from 1 species